rnacentral:rRNA from 1 species
AUUGAACGCUGGCGGAAUGCUUUACACAUGCAAGUCGAACGGUAGAGGGGGCAACCCCUCGAGAGUGGCGAACGGGUGAGUAAUAUAUCGGAACGUGCCCAGUCGUGGGGGAUAACGUAGCGAAAGUUACGCUAAUACCGCAUACGAUCUAAGGAUGAAAGCGGGGGAUCGCAAGACCUCGCGCGGUUGGAGCGGCCCAGAUCAGAUUAGGUAGUGGGUGGGGUAAAGGCUCACCAAGCCAACGAUCUGUAGCUGGUCUGAGAGGGCGACCAGCCACACUGGAACUGAGACACGGUCCAGACUCCUACGGGAGGCAGCAGUGGGGAAUUUUGGACAAUGGACGCAAGUCUGAUCCAGCCAUUCCGCGUGCAGGAUGAAGGCCCUCGGGUUGUAAACUGCUUUUGUACGGAACGAAAAGGUCUCUCUUAAUACGGGGGGCUCAUGACGGUACCGUAAGAAUAAGCACCGGCUAACUACGUGCCAGCAGCCGCCGUAA